rnacentral:rRNA from 1 species
CCUACGGGAGGCAGCAGUAGGGAAUCUUCCGCAAUGGACGAAAGUCUGACGGAGCAACGCCGCGUGAACGAUGAAGGCCUUCGGGUCGUAAAGUUCUGUUGUUAGGGAAGAACAAGUGCUAGUUGAAUAAGCUGGCACCUUGACGGCACCUAACCAGAAAGCCACGGCUAACUACGUGCCAGCAGCCGCGGUAAUACGUAGGUGGCAAGCGUUGUCCGGAAUUAUUGGGCGUAAAGCGCGCGCAGGCGGUUUCUUAAGUCUGAUGUGAAAGCCCCCGGCUCAACCGGGGAGGGUCAUUGGAAACUGGGAAACUUGAGUGCAGAAGAGGAAAGUGGAAUUCCAAGUGUAGCGGUGAAAUGCGUAGAGAUUUGGAGGAACACCAGUGGCGAAGGCGACUUUCUGGUCUGUAACUGACGCUGAGGCGCGAAAGCGUGGGGAGCAAACAGGGAUUAGAUACCCCGUGGUAGUCCACGCUGUAAACGAUGAGUGACUAAGUGUUAGACGGGUUUCCGCCUUUUAGUGCUAGAAGUUAACGCAUUAGCACUCCGCUGGGGAGUCGGUCACAGACUGAACUCGAAAGGAUUGACGGCNGAGACGNGCGACGGACGACGACGAGGGAGAGG